GGAUUAGAUACCCUGGUAGUCCACGCCGUAAACGAUGUCUACUUGGAGGUUGUGGCCUUGAGCCGUGGCUUUCGGAGCUAACGCGUUAAGUAGACCGCCUGGGGAGUACGGUCGCAAGAUUAAAACUCAAAUGAAUUGACGGGGGCCCGCACAAGCGGUGGAGCAUGUGGUUUAAUUCGAUGCAACGCGAAGAACCUUACCUACUCUUGACAUCCAGAGAAGCUUGAAGAGAUUCGAGUGUGCCUUCGGGAACUCUGAGACAGGUGCUGCAUGGCUGUCGUCAGCUCGUGCCG
rnacentral:rRNA from 1 species